AUGGCCAGAAAGGUUGGCCUUGGGCAGUUAAAGUUGGAGCAGCCUGAAAUAUCUAUUUCCAGGGCAGUCUAUAAGAGUGCCCAGAUACCUUGUAAGGUGUCCUCUGGCACCUUUAGCAGUGAUUACAUUCACUGGUACCGGCAGAAACCAGAUCAGAGUAUGGAACAUUUAAUGUAUGUAUCCUCCACAGCCACUGUCUGUGGGAAGAACAGCAAAUUUAAGGCAAUUGGCCUUGGGCAGUUAAAGUUGGAGCAGCCUGAAAUAUCUAUUUCCAGGGCAGUCUAUAAGAGUGCCCAGAUACCUUGUAAGGUGUCUUCUGGCACCUUUAGCAGUGAUUACAUUCACUGGUACCGGCAGAAACCAGAUCAGA